rnacentral:lncRNA from 1 species
UUUGGUCACAGGUCAAAUUCUAAUCUAUUACUAUAUAUAAAAGUAGAACCCUUAAUGAACCCUAUGUGAGAAGCUGACACGUGGUUUACUAUAUGCUUGCCAUGUGUCAAACUCAAAUAUGGAUAUUUGGUCAAAUUUCGUAUUGGCAGAUAAUUAAUCUACGUGUCAGACUCAAAUACAGAUUUUCUACUUUAGGAAAAAUAAAAUUAAAUUUUUAAAGGAAAUAAUAUCUUUUACUAUAUUAUUAAAAAUUAUCUGUAAUGAAGAAAAUUUUAUUUCAAAGUCACUUGCGAAUGAAUUGGCGGGUACAGAUAUUACGCAUGAGAAAAAAAAUAUUUAUCUUUAUUUGGAAAUAAAUUACUGCUUAGUUAAUUAUUUGAAAUUAUUAGUAGAAAAUUACUUGACAUAAAAAUAUUAGUAAAAAAUGAUAGAGACAAUUUCCUAACGUGGAUUUCUAUAUGUUUUCCACGUGUCAUCGUCUCUAUUCUAUUUACUAUAAUGAUAGGUGGAUUAAUGAAAUAUUUGAGAAAUUCAUGGAUAUUACGUUGUGAAAUAAUUUACUGGUGCGGAUAUUAUACGUGAGAAGGAAAAUAUUUGAGAAACGCGUAGAUAGAAAAUAUGAUAUAAAUGUGAGGGUAAUAUUGUAACAAAAAUUAACAGAUAUUUUUAUUUUCAAUAAUUAGAUAAGAUCUAAUGGUAAAAAAUUAAUAUCUUUUGCUAUAUUAUUAAAAAUCACCUAUAAUGAAGGAGAUUUUAUUUCAAAGUUAUCUAUAAUUAUGUUGAGAUAUUUUCAAAAUUCACGGAUAUUAUGUGGCAAAAAAUUGGCCGGUGCAGAUAUUAUGCAUGAGAAAAAAAUAUUUAUCUUUAUUUGGAAAUAAAUUACUAUUUAGUUAAUUAUUUAAAAUAAUUGGUUGAAAAUUUCUGGACAUAAAGGCUUUCUAUAUGCUUGCCACGUGUCAAACUCAAAUAUGGAUAUUUGGUCAAAUUUCGUAUCUAUUACUAUAUAUAAAAGUAGAACCCUUAAUGAACCCUAUGUGAGAAGCUGACACGUGGUUUACUAUAUGCUUGCCAUGUGUCAAACUCAAAUAUGGAUAUUUGGUCAAAUUUCGUAUUGGCAGAUAAUUAAUCUACGUGUCAGACUCAAAUACAGAUUUUCUACUUUAGGAAAAAUAAAAUUAAAUUUUUAAAGGAAAUAAUAUCUUUUACUAUAUUAUUAAAAAUUAUCUGUAAUGAAGAAAAUUUU